rnacentral:rRNA from 1 species
AGCAGCCGCGGUAAUUCCAGCUCCAAUAGCGUAUAUUAAAGUUGUUGCAGUUAAAAAGCUCGUAGUUGAAUUUCGGGAUCAAAUUGUCGGUCGUGCCUCGGUACGUACUGGCGUUAUUGGUUCCUCCCUUCUGAAGAACCGCGAUGUCAUUAAUUUGGUGUCGCGGGGAAUCAGGACUGUUACUUUGAAAAAAUUAGAGUGUUUAAAGCAGGCUCGCGCUUGAAUACAUUAGCAUGGAAUAAUGAAAUAGGACGUUUGAUUCUAUUUUGUUGGUUUCUAGGAUCGACGUAAUGAUUAAUAGGGAUAGUUGGAGGCAUUAGUAUUCAAUUGUCAGAGGUGAAAUUCUUGGAUUUAUUGAAGACUAACUACUGCGGAAGCAUUUGCCAAGGAUGUUUUCAUUAAUCAAGAACGAAAGUUAGGGGAUCGAAGACGAUCAGAUACCGUCGUAGUCUUAACCAUAAACUAUGCCGACUAGGGAUCGGAUGA